AUCGCUUCUCGGCCUUUUGGCUAAGAUCAAGUGUAGUAACUAUUACUGUUCUAAUUGAUCACUUUAUUUGAUUCUGAGACACAAGUGAUUUUUUUUUUUCAUUCAGUGAGUACCCUUU
ensembl:snRNA U2 U2 spliceosomal RNA